rnacentral:rRNA from 1 species
GAGUUUGAUCCUGGCUCAGGACGAACGCUGGCGGCGUGCUUAACACAUGCAAGUCGAGCGAUGAAGCUUCUUCGGGAGUGGAUUAGCGGCGGACGGGUGAGUAACACGUGGGUAACCUGCCUCAUAGAGAGGAAUAGCCUUUCGAAAGGAAGAUUAAUACCGCAUAAGAUUGUAGUACCGCAUGGUACAGCAAUUAAAGGAGUAAUCCGCUAUGAGAUGGACCCGCGUCGCAUUAGCUAGUUGGUGAGGUAACGGCUCACCAAGGCGACGAUGCGUAGCCGACCUGAGAGGGUGAUCGGCCACAUUGGGACUGAGACACGGCCCAGACUCCUACGGGAGGCAGCAGUGGGGAAUAUUGCACAAUGGGGGAGACCCUGAUGCAGCAACGCCGCGUGAGUGAUGACGGCCUUCGGGUUGUAAAACUCUGUCUUUGGGGACGAUAAUGACGGUACCCAAGGAAGAAGCCACGGCU